rnacentral:rRNA from 1 species
UAGGGAAUCUUCGGCAAUGGACGAAAGUCUGACCGAGCAACGCCGCGUGAGUGAAGAAGGUUUUCGGAUCGUAAAACUCUGUUGUUAGAGAAGAACAAGGACGUUAGUAACUGAACGUCCCCUGACGGUAUCUAACCAGAAAGCCACGGCUAACUACGUGCCAGCAGCCGCGGUAAUACGUAGGUGGCAAGCGUUGUCCGGAUUUAUUGGGCGUAAAGCGAGCGCAGGCGGUUUCUUAAGUCUGAUGUGAAAGCCCCCGGCUCAACCGGGGAGGGUCAUUGGAAACUGGGCGACUUUAGUGCAGAAGAGGAGAGUGGAAUUCCAUGUGUAGCGGUGAAAUGCGGAGAUAUAUGGAGGAACACCAGUGGCGAAGGCGGCUCUCUGGUCUGUAACUGACGCUGAGGCUCGAAAGCGUGGGGAACAAACAGG